UUUAUGGAGAGUUUGAUCCUGGCUCAGGAUGAACGCUGGCGGCGUGCCUAAUACAUGCAAGUCGAGCGAACGGACGAGAAGCUUGCUUCUCUGAUGUUAGCGGCGGACGGGUGAGUAACACGUGGAUAACCUACCUAUAAGACUGGGAUAACUUCGGGAAACCGGAGCUAAUACCGGAUAAUAUUUUGAACCGCAUGGUUCAAAAGUGAAAGACGGUCUUGCUGUCACUUAUAGAUGGAUCCGCGCUGCAUUAGCUAGUUGGUAAGGUAACGGCUUACCAAGGCAACGAUGCAUAGCCGACCUGAGAGGGUGAUCGGCCACACUGGAACUGAGACACGGUCCAGACUCCUACGGGAGGCAGCAGUAGGGAAUCUUCCGCAAUGGGCGAAAGCCUGACGGAGCAACGCCGCGUGAGUGAUGAAGGUCUUCGGAUCGUAAAACUCUGUUAUUAGGGAAGAACAUAUGUGUAAGUAACUGUGCACAUCUUGACGGUACCUAAUCAGAAAGCCACGGCUAACUACGUGCCAGCAGCCGCGGUAAUACGUAGGUGGCAAGCGUUAUCCGGAAUUAUUGGGCGUAAAGCGCGCGUAGGCGGUUUUUUAAGUCUGAUGUGAAAGCCCACGGCUCAACCGUGGAGGGUCAUUGGAAACUGGAAAACUUGAGUGCAGAAGAGGAAAGUGGAAUUCCAUGUGUAGCGGUGAAAUGCGCAGAG
rnacentral:rRNA from 1 species